AAAAAUUUGAGUGUUCAUUUUUCGUUUCGUUUCAUCCGAGCCUCGGCUCGUUCCCGGCCUCGCCGGAGGGGUCUGCGCUCCCACACACUCGAGUGGGAAGGGGCUUCUGCCCAGCUGCGGACUAACCAUGAAACCGUUGGGGCUUCUGCUCCCCGCGGGGCCCUGCCCUCCUGGCCAUAACAAACGAAACUUGGAAAAGUUGGAGAUAUUUUUUAACCAGCUGUAGAAAUAAGCCGUUCCCUGAGAACCUUCUGCCUGAUUCCCUGCAGCUUCCCUCUGCUCCCUUUCCAGCCCCCCCUGGAUGCGGGAUGCUGGGGGAGGCGGGGAGAGAAAUUCCCCAAGUUUGGGGUGAGGUGGGGAACCAUGUAAAUAUGUGAGAUAUGUACACACUGGCGGGGAAAAGAAACAUUUUGUGCUUGGAUUUUAUUUUUGGUUUUCUGGGUUGUCCUCCCUCCCCAUCCUAAAGGAUUUUGUACACCCAACUAAUCCGAAAAAGAUAUUUUAAUAUGAUUUCCUGAUUUCUGACCCAUCUCUAUUUAUUUUCUGGAUAUGUUUGGAGCUUCCCCCUUUUCCAUUUCUUCUUCUGUUAAGGUUUGAAUUUAAAUUUUGUUAUUUUAUUUUUAUUAUUUUUUGGAACAAUGUUUUGGUGCAUUCUCUUUGUAUCUUUAUUGCAAAAAAAAAAUAAUGUAGACUGGGAAGUUCCCUUUAUAUUUAUGUUAUAGUAAAUAUUUU
rnacentral:lncRNA from 1 species